AAAUGAGCAAAUUAUCCAUUUCUACCUUUAAAAACUGGCUUGGCUAAUGGAAUAACCCUAUAGUUACAUGUGACGUGCCACAUGUACCUAAUACUGACAUACAGGGAGUCAGGGACCAAUUUUUAAUAGUUGAAAUGGAUGAAAUUUUUAACA
rfam:Gossypium raimondii Chr02_contig_1453, whole genome shotgun sequence.